UUAUCUCUUCUUGCUUUCUAGCGUGGUGCCAUGGAAGGCCAGACCCUCAACGUGUUCUAUAACAGACUGGUCUUGAUACCCAAGCUGGCACAGUACUUUCAGUACGUCUUAAAUGCCGUUGGCUGUCUUCUCAUCAUCAUCACUCUCAUCCUCAUCAUCAAGAAUCAGGGAACAUUCUUUUUAUUUUGGAGUAGUAAUAAAAAGGUCUCAAAGAAUUCAGAGGCCAUUCAGUCCUAUUCAGAAUCCCUGAUGACCCCUGCUCCUAAUGGGACAGUGCUGCAGGAAGCCCGACUAUAGGUGGGUAACCAGAGGACACCCAGUGCUGCUCUCCACGAAGGGCUGGGCCCCCAGUCAGACCAGCUCCCCAGCUCCCAGACUCCCCUCCUCCAGGACGACCCCCAGGAUGGACAGCCUGCCAGCAGCAAGUCCUGAGUGACCUCCCAUACCUGGCUGUGGCAGCCGUGUGCCCGCGAUGUCACCUUUUUAUAUGUACAGCCAUGGACACACGUUUAGUGUGUGUGUGUGUGUGUGUGUGUGUGUGAGUGUGAGAGAGAGACAGAG